AUGCCCUGUUUACACCUACCCGAUAGUGGGCCCCGAUGGUGCCCGAUGGCUAAAUCAGCAGCUAUCGUUAUAACAUCGGCAAAUAGCUCAGAUGUCCGAUAUUAUCGGCCCACCGAUAUUAUCGGCCCGAUAUUAGCAUAAAAAUGUAAUAUCGGUCAAUAUCGGUAUCGGAUUUUUUUUGCCUUAAAACCGAUCAAAUAUAUAUAUAUAUAUAUAUAUUUUUUUUUUUUUUAAUUUAUAGCUCAAAUAAAUGUUUUCAAAAUUGUGCAGUACAGUGCACAUUGUAAUUGACUCAUAUUUGUGCAUUUAUUCAAUUAAGGUUAUUGAGUUUUAGUUAAAGAAACAUACUGCUAUGUUGCACAUAGUUGUUCAGGUACAAUGUUUUAUCAUUUGUGAAGUCAAGUUUGCCCUAUUUGUUGUGGGCAUUGUCAAGAUUAUCUCAGGGAGAGUGUAAUCCAAACUGUUGUCUGAGACCAUUAAAAAAAUAAAAAUAAACAUGGCACUUUUCCCUUAAA